rnacentral:rRNA from 1 species
CUGCGGCGGCUUAAUACAUGCAAGUCGAACGGUAACAGGCCUGGCAACAGGUGCUGACGAGUGGCGCACGGGUGCGUAACACGUAUGCAACCUACCCUGUACUGGCGGAUAACCCUGAGAAAUCGGGGCUAAUACGCCAUAGAAUUAUAGAUGGGCCUCCAUCAUAUAAUUAAAGAUUUAUUGGUACGGGAUGGGCAUGCGCCCCAUUAGUUAGUUGGUAGGGUAACGGCCUACCAAGGCGAUGAUGGGUAGGGGCUCUGAGAGGAUUACCCCCCACACUGGUACUGAGACACGGACCAGACUCCUACGGGAGGCAGCAGUAAGGAAUAUUGGGCAAUGGAGGCAACUCUGACCCAGCCAUGCCGCGUGCAGGAAGACAGCCCUAUGGGUUUUAAACUGCUUUUCUACGGGAUUAAUCGCCUUUACGAGUAGAGGUUUGCAAGUACCGUAGGAAUAAGCAUCGGCUAACUCCGUGCCAGCAGCCGCGGUAAUACGGAGGAUGCAAGCGUUAUCCGGACUUAUUGGGUUUAAAGGGUGCGUAGGCUGACAAGUAAGUCAGUGGUGAAAUGCUCCGGCUUAACCGGGGACUUGCCAUUGAUACUGUUUGUCUGGAGUGUAUUGGGAGUCAGCGGAACGAGGGGUGUAGCGGUGAAAUGCAUAGAUAUUCCUCAGAACACCGAUAGCGAAGGCAGCUCACUAGGAUACAACUGACGCUGAGGCACGAAAGCGUGGGUAACAAACAGGAUUAGAUACCCUGGUAGUCCACGCUGUAAACGAUGAUCACUAGCUGUUUGCGAUACA